UUUAAAUAGUUUAAUAUAAAAAUUUUGAUUUGUGGAAUCAAUGAUACAAAGUAAUUUGUUUUAAAUU
rnacentral:tRNA from 1 species